rnacentral:rRNA from 1 species
UAACACGUGAGUAACCUGCCCUUAACUCUGGGAUAAGCCUGGGAAACUGGGUCUAAUACCGGAUAUGACUCCUCAUCGCAUGGUGGGGGGUGGAAAGCUUUUUGUGGUUUUGGAUGGACUCGCGGCCUAUCAGCUUGUUGGUGAGGUAAUGGCUCACCAAGGCGACGACGGGUAGCCGGCCUGAGAGGGUGACCGGCCACACUGGGACUGAGACACGGCCCAGACUCCUACGGGAGGCAGCAGUGGGGAAUAUUGCACAAUGGGCGCAAGCCUGAUGCAGCGACGCCGCGUGAGGGAUGACGGCCUUCGGGUUGUAAACCUCUUUCAGUAGGGAAGAAGCGAAAGUGACGGUACCUGCAGAAGAAGCGCCGGCUAACUACGUGCCAGCAGCCGCGGUAAUACGUAGGGCGCAAGCGUUAUCCGGAAUUAUUGGGCGUAAAGAGCUCGUAGGCGGUUUGUCGCGUCUGCCGUGAAAGUCCGGGGCUCAACUCCGGAUCUGCGGUGGGUACGGGCAGACUAGAGUGAUGUAGGGGAGACUGGAAUUCCUGGUGUAGCGGUGAAAUGCGCAGAUAUCAGGAGGAACACCGA